CAGUAGCCGCGGUAAUACGAAGGGUGCAAGCGUUAAUCGGAAUUACUGGGCGUAAAGCGUGCGUAGGCGGUCUGUCAAGUCAGAUGUGAAAUCCCCGGGCUUAACCUGGGAACUGCAUUUGAAACUGGCAGGCUAGAGUCUUGUAGAGGGGGGUAGAAUUCCAGGUGUAGCGGUGAAAUGCGUAGAGAUCUGAGGAAUACCGGUGGCGAAGGCGGCCCCCUGGACAAAGACUGACGCUCAGGUGCGAAAGCGUGGGGAGCAAACAGGAUUAGAUACCCCUGUAGUCCCUGUCUCUUAUACA
rnacentral:rRNA from 1 species